AACGUAGGUCCCGAGCGUUAUCCGGAUUUACUGGGCGUAAAGCGUGUUCAGGCGGCCUGGCAAGUCGGGCAUGAAAUCUCUCGGCUCAACCGGGAGGGGCUGUUCGAUACUGCUGGGCUUGAGGGCAGGAGAGGGUGGUGGAAUUCCGGGUGUAGUGGUGAAAUGCGUAGAGAUCCGGAGGAACACCAGAGGCGAAGGCGGCUACCUGGCCUGCUGCUGACGCUCCAGCACGAAAGCUAGGGGAGCGAACGGG
rnacentral:rRNA from 1 species